AGUGAACGCUGGCGGUAGGCCUAACACAUGCAAGUCGAACGGCAGCACAGGAGAGCUUGCUCUCUGGGUGGCGAGUGGCGGACGGGUGAGGAAUACAUCGGAAUCUACUCUGUCGUGGGGGAUAACGUAGGGAAACUUACGCUAAUACCGCAUACGACCUACGGGUGAAAGCAGGGGACCUUCGGGCCUUGCGCGAUUGAAUGAGCCGAUGUCGGAUUAGCUAGUUGGCGGGGUAAAGGCCCACCAAGGCGACGAUCCGUAGCUGGUCUGAGAGGAUGAUCAGCCACACUGGAACUGAGACACGGUCCAGACUCCUACGGGGGGCAGCAGUGGGGAAGAUUGGACAAUGGGCGCAAGCCUGAUCCAGCCAUACCGCGUGGGUGAAGAAGGCCUUCGGGUUGUAAAGCCCUUUUGUUGGGAAAGAAAUCCAGCUGGCUAAUACCCGGUUGGGAUGACGGUGCCCAAAGAAUAAGCACCGGCUAACUUCGUGCCAGCAGCCGCCGUAA
rnacentral:rRNA from 1 species